AGGUACGGGGUGAAUUAACGAUGCGGAUUGAUUUUACUUCGACAUCAAACGCGGUUCUUACAGAAAUAUUUGUCAAGUUUUGUUAAGUUAUUUUAUUCAUUUUAAGAGAGAGGUUAUUGAGGAUCUUAUAUUUAAAAGUGAUAAUAAUAGUAGGCUAAAUGCUCUUAACAAUCCUUAGGCAGGUGAAGUUUAUGUCAUCCAAAUGAAAAUAAUGGGAAAGGCAGUUCCAGAAAAUCAAUCAAUUUUUUAUCUAUGGCUUCAUCUGUGGCGCUAUUGUUGACACAGUUAUAAGGACCUUCUUGUCGAUUCAAAUCAGAACGAGACCCAUUUCCAACCAAAAAACUCAAGACAAGUAAAUAAAAAACUAUUCAUGAGUUCGCAUAUAUGGCUCCAGGGUUUGUAUAGGUCAUAUCCAACUAUCCUGACUUGUCAGUGUUAUUUGGGAUGCAACAUUUAAUUGAUCAACGUUUUGUGCUCAUGUUUUUUUUUCUUACGAUUCAACAUUUACUUUAGAAGAUUUUUAUUUAUCAAUUCUAGUGGCUCAAAUGAGUUGUUUAGUUUAGAAGCCUUGCAUGCCUGCAGCAUUUGUGAUGCAUGAAAGGAAGUUUGAUAAUGUUCAUAAACGUUUCUUUAAAAGGUUUAAAAGUAAAAUACGAAUUUAUAAUCAGGUUCUAGUUGUAACAGUUGGUGAGACUGAAAUGAGCAAAGCUGUUAAAAAAGUGUUACCAAAUUAGAAUCUGGUAACUUACUCAAAUCAAAUAACUGAUGUUGAGUUUUGGCUAAAAAACAAGAUGCUUGUCACAAUGAAAUAGUUAUAUAUAAAUCUCAAAUGCAAGAACUUCUUAAAUGAAGGACAUUUAAAAGUUAAAAUUGACACUUUGAGACCAUCGUGGAAUGCGGGAUUCUUUUUUUUCAGACCAAUUGUAUUCUUGCAUUUUAAUAGCCUACAUUGGUCAUCUAAGAAUCUUGGUUUGAUUAAUUAUAUUACAAAUAAUAUAUCUGAUUUAUUAAAUUCUGUAAUUAAAAAAUUUUAAAAUUUGGAAAAGAGGUGCCAAUAGAUUCAAUGAUUGUUGCCAUGCAUCGUCUUCAGAACAUCUGUUCAUCAAGCGAAGUUGUCUUGGCUUUGGAUUGUACACUUUCAUUGAUAGCAGUCUUCUAUUCGUUAUGUAACUUUUAGUAUAUAAUAGUUUAAUUAUUUCAAAACUUUUUGCUUAAUGCUUUUUAUUUGAUUAUAGGAUUAUUCACAAAACGUUGUUACCAAUCAAAAAUGAUGUUUUGAAUUUAAAUGAAACUGAUUUAAAUAAUUUUUUAGAUAACACGGAUGACAUAUCUAAAGUAGAGGGUCCAGAAUUUGUUAUUGCAGAGCUGUAAGCUGCAGCCAAUAUACUAAUGUGUGAACGCAUACAUCCAUCUAUACGUGUACUUUUAACAAAUUCAACAUAGUUCGUGUUAUAAACCAUAAGGUUUUUACAAUUUCUCCACCUGAUGGCUACGUGCAUGUGAAAUAUACCCAAAUGAAAA